rnacentral:rRNA from 1 species
GCAUUAAGUGAUCCGCCUUGGGGAGCACGGCCAGCAAGGUUAAAACUCAAAGGAAUUGACGGGGGCCCGGCACAACCGGUGGAGCAUGUGGAUUAAUUGCGACGCAACCGCGAAGAACCUUACGUACGGUUUGACAUCUCGGGAAAUCCCGGCGGAAACGCGGGGAGUGCCCUUCUGGGAGCCCGGAGACAGGUGAUGCAUGGCUGUCGUCAGUUCGCGUCUUGAGAUUGUUGGAUUAAGUCCCGCAACGAGCGCAACCCCUAUCUUUAGUUACCAGCAUUUAGGAUGGGGACUCUGGAGAUACUGCACCGGUCAACGGGGAGGAAGGCUCGGGGAUGACAGUCAAGUCCUCAUGGCCCUUAUGCCUAGGGCUACACACGUAGCAACAAUGGGCGGUACAGAGGUCAGCAGACCCUGUGAGGGUGAGCCAAUCUCAUAAACCCGUCCCAAGUUCGGAUUGGAGUCUGCAACUCGACUCCAUGAAGCUGGAAUCGCUAGUAAUCUCGGAUUAGCAUACCACGUGNAUCCGUUCACGGGCCUUGUACACACCGCCACGUCACACCAUGAGA